rnacentral:lncRNA from 1 species
UCAUUUUCUCUUGCUGCUACCAUGGAAGAAGCGACUUUCGCCUCCCGCCGUGAUUCUGAGGCCUUUCCAGCCAUGUCAAACUGCUUUGGUAUCAGGAUAAUGGUGGCCUCAUAAAAUGAAAGAUCAUAAUUGUUUUUUCCCUCUGGUGUCUGUGGUCACGGUUCUCCAGAGCUGCUGCAAUCUAUCCAGCCCUCUUUUGGUUUCAGAACCUCCCAGGCUUCUAGAGUAUUAUGGAUCUCAUUAAUGCUCUGACUUACGUGUGACAGAAACCAUUUCCUUGGGAAGCUCCCUGAAAAGCAACAUGGUUGCAUGCAUACUCUGUGUCAGGCCUCUGAGCCCAAGCUAAGCCAUCAUAUCCCCUGUGACCUGUGUGUAUACAUCUAGAUGGCCUGAAGCAACUGAAGAUCCACAGAAGAAGUGAAAAUAGCCAGGUCCUGCCUUAACUGAUGACCUUCCACCAUUGUGAUUUGUUCUUGCCCCACCCUAACUGACCAAUUGACCUUUUGACAGUAUACCCUCCCCGCCCUUGUGAUAAUGUACUUUGUGAUAUUCCCCUGCCCUUAAGAAGGUACUUUGUAAUAUUCUCCCCACCCUUGAGAAUGUACUUUGUAAGAUCACCCCCUGUCCAUAAAAAAUUGCUCCUAACUCCACCGCCUAUCUCAAACCUAUAAGAACUAAUGAUAAUCCCACCACCGUUUGAUGACUCUCUUUUUGGACUCAGCCCACCUGCACCCAGGUGAUUAAAAACUUUAUUGUUCACACAAAGCCUGUUUGGUGGUCUCUUUACACGGACGCGUGUGACACUCUACCCUUUUCUUUUCCUGAUAAAUGAGAGAUUGCGAAACUGUAUUGGUCUCUGUGUGCUAUAUGUCAGGUCCUCUAGAACAGCAGUAAGGUGCUCAGCUCUCUUUUGUUCUCAGAGGCCCUCAGAUAUAUAUAAUAUGCCAGAUCCACUUAGUGCUUUAAGACAGGUGAAACAGAAACAAGUUUUCUGGUCAUCCCCCCAAAACUGAAACAUUUGAUGGAGAGUUUAGCUCUUUUCCUUUCCAAGGAGAAUCUGGGAGAUAGGGGUUUUCUCCUACUCAUUCCACCCUGAACAAAGGGUAGUGCAUUAGGUGAGUUGGUACAUGCUAGUC